UCUACGGGAGGCAGCAGUGAGGAAUAUUGGUCAAUGGGCGAGAGCCUGAACCAGCCAAGUCGCGUGAAGGAUGACGGCCCUACGGGUUGUAAACUUCUUUUGUCAGGGAGCAAUUGAGUCCACGUGUUGUCUUAGCGAGAGUACCUGAAGAAAAAGCAUCGGCUAACUCCUUGCCAGCAGCCGCGGUAAUCCGGAGGAUGCGAGCGUUAUCCGGAUUUAUUGGGUUUAAAGGGUGCGUAGGCGGAAUGUAAAGUCAGCGGUAAAAAUUCGGGGCUCAACCCCGUCGUGCCGUUGAAACUGGUGUUCUUGAGGGGGCGAGAAGGAUGCGGAAUGCGUGGUGUAGCGGUGAAAUGCAUAGAGAUCACGCAGAACUCCGAUUGCGAAGGCAGCAUACCGGCGCCCGACUGACGCUGAAGCACGAAAGCGUGGGUAUCGAACAGGAUUAGAUACCCUAGUAGUC
rnacentral:rRNA from 1 species